rnacentral:rRNA from 1 species
UUUUGAUUAUGGCUCAGAUUGAACGCUGGCGGCAGGCCUUACACAUGCAAGUCGAGCGAGAAAUUUUCUUCGGAAAAGAGUAAAGCGGCGGACGGGUGAGUAACGCGUAGGAAUCUACCUAGUAGUGGGGGACAACAUGUGGAAACGCAUGCUAAUACCGCAUACGCCCUAUGGGGGAAAGCAGGGGAUCUUCGGACCUUGUGCUAUUAGAUGAGCCUGCGUCGGAUUAGUUUGUUGGUAGGGUAAUGGCCUACCAAGACUACGAUCCGUAGCUGGUCUGAGAGGAUGAUCAGCCACACUGGGACUGAGACACGGCCCAGACUCCUACGGGAGGCAGCAGUGGGGAAUAUUGGACAAUGGGCGCAAGCCUGAUCCAGCCAUGCCGCGUGUGUGAAGAAGGCUCUAGGGUUGUAAAGCACUUUCAGUAGGGAGGAAAAGUUAGUAGUUAAUAACGC